AUGGACUUUUUGCAGUUUGGUGCGGCUCCUCUCUGCAGCUUCCAUGAAGAUGCAGGGAUGAGAAGUAUUGCAGAGUUAAGAGAAGAGAAAGUCUCUCCAUCUCUCUGUAAUCCUGCUCAGACACGAGAUUUAGACAAGGAAGAAUGGAAGAUUCACUUGAAGGUGGCCUGGGAAUCUGCUGAGAAAGGAUGUGCCACAGCAGAGGAGGUGAUUGCCACUCAAUCCUAGCUCUUGCCCCCAGAGAAGGCACAGUUUGAGAACUAUUGAAUUUCUUAAAUCCAGUGAAAUCCUGAAGUACAAGGCAGCAGUGUGUCUUUCAGGGGAUUUUUCAGAACAAAGAGGCCACAAGAAAUGGUUUACCCAGACUCUAAGAUGCUCCAAGGUCUGCAUUUUCACCUUACCUGACUGUCGCUGUUUGGGAACGCAUGUGGUCGUUUGUUGCAAUACUCAUUCACUAUCCAUACAGCUGCUGAGGCAGAAUCAAUGCUGCACUGAGUUCUCAUUAACUUCUGGGUGAGAUGUGCAUGUUUCUGGCUCUGCUAUGAAAAUGGCUGUGAUUUCCCCCCCCUCCACAGGUGUCCCUAUUUGUCACUGCAUUUGCAAACCUGACCCUGGAAGUCAGACUCCAUUAUAGCAACAAUCACCAGUCUAGAGGGUAAUUAACCAAAUAGUUAUGUUUUCUUUUUUUCCUUCAGCACCAAACAAGCAAACAGCAACAAAAUGCAUCUUGGCAAGGUAAUUGAAAGAAACUCAUCACUUUUAAUGAAAGUUGGAGUGAUUGUAUUCUAAGCCAGUUAAUUACAUCACUGUAUUAUUGCUGCCUGACAGAUGAACUUAAUUUACAGUCAGUGGGGAGUUAACCUAAACUAGAAGCUCAUUGCAAAGAUUUUAUUGAUUUUUAAUGGGCUUUGGACUGGAUCUUUGAGCAGGUUUGCCUUCAUGUUUCUAUAAUGCUGAUUCGUGUAAAAAUAGAGAAUCUAAAUUUACACUUAGUGCAAUUUUUUUCAGGCAGAACUUCUUUAAUGAUCAACAGUGAUCACAUUCAUAAUGUAAAGUGAACUAGAUUCUCUUCUGACAAAAUAUACCAAGUAAAAAAAAAAUCUAAAAUAUGACAAAGUAUUCCAAAUAUCCAACAUACUGUUACUAGCAUUAUGUCUGCUUGAGGUGUAAUAAUCACUUGUUGAAACUGGUGUUCCUACAAAAAGAAUGUUUUUUUUUCACUCCAAAC
rnacentral:lncRNA from 1 species